GAUGAAGAACGCAGCGAAUUGCGAUACGUAAUGUGAAUUGCAGAUUUUCAGUGAAUCAUCGAAUCUUUGAACGCACAUUGCGCCCCCUGGUAUUCCGGGGGGCAUGCCUGUUCGAGCGUCAUUACAACCCUCAAGCUCUGCUUGGUAUUGGGCCCCGCCAGUUCUGGCGGGCCCUAAAGUCAGUGGCGGUGCCUUCCGGCUCCGAGCGUAGUAAUUCUUCUCGCUCUGGAGACCCGGUUGUGUGCUUGCCAACAACCCCCAAUUUUUUAAGGUUGACCUCGGAUCAGGUAGGGAUACCCGCUGAACUUAAGCAUAUCAAUAAGCGGAGGA
rnacentral:misc_RNA from 1 species